rnacentral:rRNA from 1 species
UACGUAGGGGCUAGCGUUAUCCGGAAUUACUGGGCGUAAAGGGUGCGUAGGUGGUUUCUUAAGUCAGAGGUGAAAGGCUACGGCUCAACCGUAGUAAGCCUUUGAAACUGGGAAACUUGAGUGCAGGAGAGGAGAGUGGAAUUCCUAGUGUAGCGGUGAAAUGCGUAGAUAUUAGGAGGAACACCAGUAGCGAAGGCGGCUCUCUGGACUGUAACUGACGCUGAGGCGCGAAAGUGUGGGGAGCAAACAGGAUUAGAUACCCGGGUAGUCCCUGAGCGGG